rnacentral:rRNA from 1 species
AAUGAACGUUGGCGGCGUGGAUUAGGCAUGCAAGUCGAGCGAGAAGUGUAGCUAUACACGGAAAGCGGCGAAAGGGAUAGUAACACGUAGGUACCUACCCCCGGGCCUGGGAUAGCGGCGGGAAACUGCCAUUAAUACCAGAUAACGUCUCCGGACCAAAGGUGUGAUUCCGUCUGGGGAGGGGCCUGCGUCCUAUCAGCUAGUUGGUGAGGUAAUGGCCCACCAAGGCAUUGACGGGUAGCGGGUGUGAGAGCACGACCCGCAUCACUGGGACUGCGACACGGCCCAGAGACCUACGGGUGGCUGCAGUCGAGAAUCUUCCGCAAUGGGCGCAAGCCUGACGGAGCGACGCCGCGUGCGGGAUGAAGGCCUUCGGGUUGUAAACCGCUGUCAGUGGGGAGGAAAUGCAUGGGGGUUCUCCCCCAUGUUUGACCGAUCCGCAGAGGAAGCACAGGCUAAGUUCGUGCCAGCAGCCGCGGUAAAAC